UCAGCCCUGAAUCAAGGCCAGCAGCUUGUUGUAGCUGUUGGUUUCAAACAGCGGCUAAAAUCAGAACUCUUCAAAUUGUUGGUUGACUUUUCCAGCAUUUCAUAAUGAGGAAAAGUCUUUUCAGUUUGAAGAAACAUUU
ensembl:snoRNA